GAACGGGUGAGUAACACGUGGGUGAUCUGCCCUGCACUUUGGGAUAAGCCUGGGAAACUGGGUCUAAUACCGAAUAGGACCACGCGCUUCAUGGUGUGUGGUGGAAAGCUUUUGCGGUGUGGGAUGGGNNNNCGGCCUAUCAGCUUGUUGGUGGGGUAAUGGCCUACCAAGGCGACGACGGGUAGCCGGCCUGAGAGGGUGACCGGCCACACUGGGACUGAGAUACGGCCCAGACUCCUACGGGAGGCAGCAGUGGGGAAUAUUGCACAAUGGGCGCAAGCCUGAUGCAGCGACGCCGCGUGAGGGAUGACGGCCUUCGGGUUGUAAACCUCUUUCAAUAGGGACGAAGCGCAAGUGACGGUACCUAUAGAAGAAGCACCGGCCAACUACGUGCCAGCAGCCGCGGUAAUACGUAGGGUGCGAGCGUUGUCCGGAAUUACUGGGCGUAAAGAGCUCGUAGGUGGUUUGUCGCGUUGUUCGUGAAAACUCACAGCUUAACUGUGGGCGUGCGGGCGAUACGGGCAGACUAGAGUACUGCAGGGGAGACUGGAAUUCCUGGUGUAGCGGUGGAAUGCGCAGAUAUCAGGAGGAACACCGGUGGCGAAGGCGGGUCUCUGGGCAGUAACUGACGCUGAGGAGCGAAAGCGUGGGGAGCGAACAGGAUUAGAUACCCUGGUAGUCCACGCCGUANACGGUGGGUACUAGGUGUGGGUUCCUUCCUUGGGAUCCGUGCCGUAGCUAACACAUUAAGUACCCCGCCUGGGGAGUACGGCCGCAAGGCUAAAACUCAAAGGAAUUGACGGGGGCCCGC
rnacentral:rRNA from 1 species